UACGAAGGGGGCUAGCGUUGCUCGGAAUCACUGGGCGUAAAGCGCACGUAGGCGGAUUGCUAAGUCAGGGGUGAAAUCCUGGAGCUCAACUCCAGAACUGCCUUUGAUACUGGCGACCUUGAGUCCGGGAGAGGUGAGUGGAACUGCGAGUGUAGAGGUGAAAUUCGUAGAUAUUCGCGAGAACACCAGUGGCGAAGGCGGCUCACUGGCCCGGUACUGACGCUGAGGUGCGAAAGCGUGGGGAGCGAACAGG
rnacentral:rRNA from 1 species